rnacentral:rRNA from 1 species
UGCGCAGGUGGGUUGGCAAGUUUGAUGUGAAAGCCCCGGGCUUAACCCGGGAACGGCAUUGAAUACUGCUGAUCUGGAGGGUUGGAGGGGGGACUGGAAUUCUUGGUGUAGCAGUGAAAUGCGUAGAUAUCAAGAGGAACACCAGUGGCGAAGGCGAGUCCCUGGACAAUACCUGACACUGAGGCACGAAAGCCGGGGGAGCAAACA